UAAGGAGGAGGCACGCGUUAUACGGAAUUAUUGGGCGUAAAGCGUCCGUAGGUGGUUGGCCAAGUCUGCUGUCAAAGGGUGGGGCUUAACCUCAUAAAGGCAGUGGAAACUGGCGAGCUAGAGAGCGGUAGGGGUAGGGGGAAUUCCCAGUGUAGCGGUGAAAUGCGUAGAGAUUGGGAAGAACAUCGGUGGCGAAAGCGCCCUGCUGGGCCUGCACUGACACUGAGGGACGAAAGCUAGGUGAGCGAAAGGG
rnacentral:rRNA from 1 species